UCUCAUCCCCUCGCUCAGGAAGACCUCUGAUGGGAGAGCAGCUGCCAGGGAGAAGCUGAACGACACUGAAGAGGUGCAGGAGGCAGCUAAUGUGCGUUCGGGCAGCUGACCACCAGAUGGUCCUUCCUAUAAAAUUCUUUGUAGAGAACUGAAUAAUACUGGGUGUAUCACAGAGGCUUGCUGGGCUCCACAAACCCUGUGUGAGGGGAAAAACAGAAUGCUCAGUGCAGGAUCUGUGCCGCUACUGUGGUGCUUCAAAGGAAGCCAGAAAGCAAAACAGCUCAGUGGACGGAGGACUGUGUCAUUCUUGGUUUCUCCUCAGGUACUUUGGAUCCAACUCUGACUUCUCCAGAGCAUCUCACCACCUACACAAGAGUGGAAAAGCGCCAGUUUCCUCAUUGUAAGGUCUCUGCUGUCUGUAAAGCUUUAUUUCAGAUAGGAACACGUACCCUUGGAGAAAUUUCAGAGGCCAAGUUCCAGCUGUGGCAGUGUCCAAUCAAAAGGCUGCAAGAGCUUUUUUUUCCUCCCCCAGCCCGGGCCUGGAGAAGGAGACAACUGUCCCGAGGAUACAAGGUGCCUCAACUUCAUGGACGCUGGCAGCUACCUUGGCUAUGUGUUUUGGAGUAUUUACUACCGGUGGGUUGGU